rnacentral:rRNA from 2 species
AGCGGCGGACGGGUGAGUAAUACUUAGGAAUCUACCUAGUAGUGGGGGAUAGCUCGGGGAAACUCGAAUUAAUACCGCAUACGACCUACGGGAGAAAGGGGGCAACUUGUUGCUCUCGCUAUUAGAUGAGCCUAAGUCGGAUUAGCUAGAUGGUGGGGUAAAGGCCUACCAUGGCGACGAUCUGUAGCUGGUCUGAGAGGAUGAUCAGCCACACCGGGACUGAGACACGGCCCGGACUCCUACGGGAGGCAGCAGUGGGGAAUAUUGGACAAUGGGGGAAACCCUGAUCCAGCCAUGCCGCGUGUGUGAAGAAGGCCUUUUGGUUGUAAAGCACUUUAAGCAGUGAAGAAGACUCUUCGGUUAAUACCCGGAGACGAUGACAUUAGCUGCAGAAUAAGCACCGGCUAACUCUGUGCCAGCAGCCGCGGUAAUACAGAGGGUGCAAGCGUUAAUCGGAAUUACUGGGCGUAAAGCGAGCGUAGGUGGCUUGAUAAGUCAGAUGUGAAAUCCCCGGGCUUAACCUGGGAACUGCAUCUGAUACUGUCAGGCUAGAGUAGGUGAGAGGAAGGUAGAAUUCCAGGUGUAGCGGUGAAAUGCGUAGAGAUCUGGAGGAAUACCGAUGGCGAAGGCAGCCUUCUGGCAUCAUACUGACACUGAGGCUCGAAAGCGUGGGUAGCAAACAGGAUUAGAUACCCUGGUAGUCCACGCCGUAAACGAUGUCUACUAGUCGUUGG